rnacentral:rRNA from 1 species
UGGGGAAUUUUGGACAAUGGGGGCAACCCUGAUCCAGCAAUGCCGCGUGUGUGAAGAAGGCCUUCGGGUUGUAAAGCACUUUUGUCCGGAAAGAAAACGCCGUGGUUAAUACCCGUGGCGGAUGACGGUACCGGAAGAAUAAGCACCGGCUAACUACGUGCCAGCAGCCGCGGUAAUACGUAGGGUGCAAGCGUUAAUCGGAAUUACUGGGCGUAAAGCGUGCGCAGGCGGUCCGCUAAGACAGAUGUGAAAUCCCCGGGCUUAACCUGGGAACUGCAUUUGUGACUGGCGGGCUAGAGUAUGGCAGAGGGGGGUAGAAUUCCACGUGUAGCAGUGAAAUGCGUAGAGAUGUGGAGGAAUACCGAUGGCGAAGGCAGCCCCCUGGGCCAAUACUGACGCUCAUGCACGAAAAGCGUGGGGGAGCAAACAGGAUUCAGAUACCCUGGUAGUCCACGCCCUAAACGAUGUCAACUAGUUGUCGGGUCUUCAUUGACUUGGUAACGUAGCUAACGCGUGAAGUUGACCGCCUGGGGAGUACGGUCGCAAGAUUAAAAACU